UAUGUGCGGAAGGGAUAAGUGCUGAAAGCAUCUAAGCAUGAAGCCCCCCUCAAGAUGAGAUUUCCCAUAGCGUAAGCUAGUAAGAUCCCUGAAAGAUGAUCAGGUUGAUAGGUUCGAGGUGGAAGCAUGGUGACAUGUGGAGCUGACGAAUACUAAUAGAUCGAGGACUUAACCAUAUAA
rnacentral:rRNA from 1 species